rnacentral:misc_RNA from 1 species
UUCCAAGAAUUUAGUUUAUGCAUUUUAGUUACUUAAUUUGAAUCUAAAAUCUUAAAAUGUAGCUGCAAAAGUAGGUUUGAUUUCUCUAAACUUAUAAGACUAAUUUUAAAUGGUAGUCCAUCCCUUUCUUAGUUAAUCAGGCUAAGAAAUAUGAUAUUUUUAAAAAUAAAGGAGCUAAUAAUUUAUAAAAAGGUCUCAAGGUUUAUACGUAGGCGAUGUAGGAUAAGAGGCUGCAAAGAAUAACCACCUCCACAUAAGCUGUG